rnacentral:tRNA from 1 species
GGGGUUGUGGCUCAGUGGUUGAGCACUUGCCUAGCAUGUGUGAGGCACUGUUUGAUUCUCAGCACCA